rnacentral:rRNA from 1 species
UACGUAGGGUGCAAGCGUUAAUCGGAAUUACUGGGCGUAAAGCGUGCGCAGGCGGUUCGGAAAGAGAGGUGUGAAAUCCCAGGGUUUAACCUUGGAACUGCACUUCUAACUACCGGGCUAGAGUACGUCAGAGGGGGGUAGAAUUCCACGUGUAGCAGUGAAAUGCGUAGAGAUGUGGAGGAAUACCGAUGGCGAAGGCAGCCCCCUGGGAUGAUACUGACGCUCAUGCACGAAAGCGUGGGGAGCAAACAGG